rnacentral:rRNA from 1 species
UACAGAGGGUGCGAGCGUUGUCCGGAAUCACUGGGCGUAAAGGGCGCGUAGGUGGCGCUCCAAGUCCGUGGUGAAAGCUCGAUGCUCAACAUCGAGUCGGCCACGGAGACUGGAGGGCUCGAGCACUGUAGGGGCAGAUGGAAUUCCGGGUGUAGCGGUGGAAUGCGUAGAGAUCCGGAAGAACACCGGUGGCGAAGGCGGUCUGCUGGGCAGUUGCUGACACUGAGGCGCGACAGCGUGGGGAGCAAACAGGG